rnacentral:rRNA from 1 species
GAUCCUGGCUCAGGGUGAACGCUGGCGGCGUGCCUAACACAUGCAAGUCGAACGAAGCUUGACGGAUGAUUUCUUCGGAAUGAAACCAGAUAUGACUUAGUGGCGGACGGGUGAGUAACACGUGAGCAACCUGCCUUUCAGAGGGGGAUAACGGCUGGAAACGGUCGCUAAUACCGCAUGAUGUGUUACGGAUGGCAUCAUCUGAACAUCAAAGAUUUAUCGCUGAAAGAUGGG